GACGAACGCUGGCGGCGUGCUUAACACAUGCAAGUCGAACGGUAAGGCCCUUCGGGGUACACGAGUGGCGAACGGGUGAGUAACACGUGGGUGAUCUGCCCUGCACUUCGGGAUAAGCCUGGGAAACUGGGUCUAAUACCGGAUAGGACUCCUGGCUUCAUGGUUGGGGGUGGAAAGCUUUUGCGGUGUGGGAUGGGCCCGGGGGCUAUCAGCUUGUGGGUGGGGUAAUGGCCUACCAAGGCGACGAGGGGACGCCGGCCUGAGAGGGUGACCGGACACACUGGGCCUGAGUCACGGCCCAGACUCCUACGGGGGGCAGGAGUGGGGAAUUUUCAAAAAUGGGCGAAAGCCUGAUGCAGCGACGCCGCGUGAGGGAUGACGGCCUUCGGGUUGUAAACCUCUUUCAGCUAUGACGAAGCGCAAGUGACGGUAGUAGCAGAAAAAGGACCGGCCAACUACGUGCCAGCAGCCGCCGUAA
rnacentral:rRNA from 1 species